rnacentral:sRNA from 1 species
GCCUCCAUCUUUGCUUCCCGUCAAAUCUCACCAAAUGCUAUUCUUCGCCGUGUAUUCCUCCGUCCUCCGCCGAUCCCGACG